GGAGACCUCAGCCUGAGCAUCGUCUCCAAUGAGCUUUAACAGCCGCACGAGGUGGAACCCACGGAGCACCUUUCCACCUUCCAGGAGCCCCCCCAAAAAAAAUACCCAGACUCAUCACACCUCUUUUCUGCUGUGACCUCUGACCUACACACCGCGCACAGCUGUCACAACACCCAGUCGCUGCACUAAUGUUUCUUUUUUUCACGGCUAAUUGGCGCGGCCUAAUGGCGGCAUGCACGCUUCCUGUUGGCUGUAAAUAGGCUGUGUAAGUGUAAUAAACCGCUUGCGUUUCAUAGCGUGGCGUGUGAGUAAGUGAUCACGCUGCCUGUGAUUACCCCCCUAGAUUGGUUUAUAAUUAAAAAGUAAGAGCCAGCGGAGGGAGGUGGAGACCGCGGCUCUUGCGGCGCUGAAUAGAUUUCUAGGAGAGGAGACGGCUCAGGAUAAGCUCUACGGGGGGGAUCCAGUGACAGGAAACAUCGGUUGUUAAUGUGCAAAAAUAAAACAGCAGCCUCGAGGAAGGUAACCUGAAGGUGUGUGUGUGUGUGUGUCAUCAUCAUGUGUUCACGGCGGUUUGAGCUCCACCGCACCGACUUCUGGUGAAACCUUGUUGCUUGGCAGGUUUUCCGUACCUCGGAUUCACAGGGCCGCUGGUAUCUCAGGGCUGAUUCCCCAAACCAAGCAGACGGGGCAUCGCAUCUCCCCCCCUGGUGUUGGGUGUCAGUGGACGGGACAAAGUGAUGCUUGUUGCUAAUCCGCUGCGCCCUGACGUAUUGAUGUCAGUCCCACACGGAUCACAGCAGUCGACGGGUCAGCGGCUCCUCGCAGGCCCUCGUCCUGUGCUGCUGGAGGAUUGUCCUCCGCGCCGGCCUCACGCUCUCACUCUUGGAAUAGACUUUUGUCAAUUCGCAUUUCCAAACGAAUAAUUUGCUCUCAGUUAUCGAGCUUCCUCGACAAAGAAGCAGCGCGAGAAAACAACAAAUGCGCACACGACAGGAUCCGCCGGCGUGUGAGCGCCCGACCCGAGGCACAGAGGGCUGAUUGAGAAGCGUCACGUGACGAACGGCGUGACGAGAUCAGCAGGACGAGGGGGUCGGCCGGGCCUCAUGCAGCGCCGCUCGUAAAUACACCAGAUUCAUGUCCGGUACACUGAGCGUCUCUCAGAGAUCCGUGUUCCUCUCUGCACAUCACGGCAGCUCAGCAACACUCCAGAUGCGUCUCCGCGGUCCGUCGCCGGCGUACGGACACGUUGAAGCGCUGCUGAUGAUCCCUUCAGUGAGGACGUCCUCGACAGCAGAAGACCUGGAGACGCCUUGUUUUAUUAUUUUUCUUUUAUUUACUGGAUAUUGUUUUGUGUCCUAAUCCGUUUUCAUGUAUUUCCCUGCAGCCUGUGGAUGUUUACACGAUCAUCACGUGUAGACACGGAGCGAGGUUGACAUUCUGCUUGAUUGCAUAUUAGCGACGUGAGAGAGAGAGAGACGUGGUCCCUUUGUGAGCGUCACUUUGUUCUUUCUUUACAGAAAGAAGGAAGUUUGUUGAUAAGAAAUAAUUGGUAUCCAAUUUAGAAGAAACGCGAUUUUGAAGAAACACGAUUCAUUGUUCUUCAAGAUGAUGCCCGAGGGCUUAAAAAGCACAUCUUGGCAGCUCUUUGCAGAUUAGUAGCUGCACAACAGCAAUAGUGUCUCUGCAAAUGUGAAACGUACUCUUUCAUUCCUUCAGUUAAAUGAAAGUGGGCUGUUUUGUUCUCACAUUCUGUACCUGUAGCCCACAUCAUAAGGCAGAGCAAUGUAAAAAACAGUACCAGGAAUAAUAAGUGGAAAUUGAAAAUAAAAUGUGCAUCUCUGCUUGUAAGGUGGAAAACACUGAAGCCUCAUUACAGAUCCAUUUGGUGGUUAUAGACACCUUUCAGUCAGUAGGGUUCAUCCUCUGGGAACCACGAGUGUCUACAAACUGGGCCAAUCCAUCAUCGUCCGACGGCCAAGUGCAAACUUUGAGCGCCUGCUGACGGCAGAGGAAAUGUCAGCGGAUCCGUUGGUUCCCUGGAAACCACGAAGGUCUAAAUGACAGUUGGUGACCAAAGUGUUGAUCCGACAAACCACCAUUC
ensembl:lncRNA